UACGUAGGUGGCGAGCGUUGUCCGGAUUUACUGGGCGUAAAGGGCGUGCAGGCGGUUUGUUAAGUGCAGGGUGAAAGCUCCCGGCUCAACUGGGAGAGGUCCUUGCAUACUGGCGAACUCGAGGGAGGCAGAGGAAAGUGGAAUUCCCGGUGUAGUGGUGAUAUGCGUAGAUAUCGGGAGGAACACCAGUGGCGAAGGCGGCUCUCUGGACCGACACUGACGCUGAGGCGCGAAAGCGUGGGGAGCAAACAGG
rnacentral:rRNA from 1 species